rnacentral:rRNA from 1 species
UAGGGAAUCUUCGGCAAUGGACGAAAGUCUGACCGAGCAACGCCGCGUGAGUGAAGAAGGUUUUCGGAUCGUAAAACUCUGUUGUUAGAGAAGAACAAGGACGUUAGUAACUGAACGUCCCCUGACGGUAUCUAACCAGAAAGCCACGGCUAACUACGUGCCAGCAGCCGCGGUAAUACGUAGGUGGCAAGCGUUGUCCGGAUUUAUUGGGCGUAAAGCGAGCGCAGGCGGUUUCUUAAGUCUGAUGUGAAAGCCCCCGGCUCAACCGGGGAGGGUCAUUGGAAAAUGAGAGACUUGAGUGCAGAAGAGGAGAGUGGAAUUCCAUGUGUAGCGGUGAAAUGCGUAGAUAUAUAGAGGAACACCAGUGGCGAAGGCGGCUCUCUGGUCUGUAACUGACGCUGAGGCUCGAGAGCGUGGGGAGCAAACAGG